CGCCUUGGUGUCGAGGGCGCGCGGGUCGGUGUCCGCGUGGAGGUCGGAGAGACGGUGGGCGAGCCAACCGAUGGUGUUCGACUUGCCCGAGCCGGCC
rnacentral:tRNA from 1 species